GAUGCAAUUAGUCCUGCCAGAGCAGCUUGGACAGCUCAGAGCACUGGCUCUGUCACCUGUCAGGUUACCUGCAUGCAGGCCGGAGAGCAGGUGAGGUGGGCCUUGGCUCUGCCACUCCCUCCUCGAUAAGCCAGGCAUGCAUCUUGAUGUUCAGGAUCCUUCUUUAUUAGUCAUUAAUAACUAUUAUUAAUAAUUUGCGUGAUUAAAUUUCACCCAGUCCCUCUUUUUUUCCUUUGAUUUGCAGUCAAGGCGCGAAUUGUAACCUUGGAUCAGAACUUUAUUGCCAGCAAUGAAUCGCACCACCUGGUAGAGCUGCAGGACCCCAAAGGAAAUUGCAUUGGUCAGUGGUUGAACGUGACCCCAUAUCGAGGCAUUGUGGAUCUAUCCUUCCCAUUGGCUGCAGAAGCACCUUUAGGAGAAUACACCAUCAAUAUGCCUGGCCUCAAGAACACCUUCAAUGUAGAGGAAUAUGAUGAACAGGGAUGGCUGCCUCGCUGCAGUGGUGGACACUGAAGUCUAUAACCUGACUCUUCAGAACAGUUACCAGUUCAGUCUAGAUGCUGUGGCUUCCCUGGAAGAAAGUGGAACAGGGUUGGAGUUCAAUGCCACUCAGAGCUGCAGGGUAACUUCAUCCGUCACUACGCUCCAGUUUUUGGAUAAUAACAUCUACUACCUGCCAGGAGUGCCAUACCAUGGGAGGCUGAAGCUCAGCAGUGCCACUGGGAUGCCGUUGAAGAACGCAGAGGUUUUUCUCACUAUAUACCACAGGAGCAAAAUGCAGACUGAGACCUACGUCACGGAUGACACAGGGGUGGCCUCUUUCACCUUGGACACUUCACUGUGGAAAGACAGCGACAAGGUCUCACUACAGCCUUGUCAGGUGGACAUCUAGCCCCAAUACUUGAGACAGUGCAGAGUCCACCCUGUGGACAGCAUCAGGCCGGGCUGGGCAAGAACUGGGAGGUACCUUCAAAGCACACCGCUGCCCUUUCUCUGUCCCAGUCGAAGUCCACGCUGGAGAUCCAAGGUACAGCUUUACGAAGGUGGUCCCAUCUUAUAGCACGGCCUUCUGCUCACUGAGGCCCUUCUAGUCGUCCAGCAACAGCGCAGUGAAGAUCCACCCUGCACAGGGCAUGCCGCCUUGCGGAGGCACGCAGCAGCUCACCGGUCACUAUCCUGUCCUGGCAAAGGAGCUGGAAGAGGGGGCUGCCCUGGUGAAAUUCUACCACCUGGUGAGCCCACAGAGAGUGGCAGUGAGCACAGGGGGCGACACAUCCCUCCCCUGGGGAUUUCCGAGUUACUGCCUCAGCAAAACAUGGAGACGUGAAACCCUCAGCCCACUUCUGUGUAUGUGUCUUCUCAGGUCUUGGCCAGAGGCUCCCUUGUUCUUCACGGCCAGAGUACAGUCCCUCUUGAUGUCCAGUUAGUUACCUACUGGGUGAAAAGAGACUGUUUGUUCUCAAGACAGGCUAAGACCAGGUGUAAAUGGUGCCUACGGUUCCAUAUCAGUGGAGCUCUUGAGAAGACAAUGGCAAAUCCAAUUGCCUGGACAUGGACACCUAACAAGCAACACCAUGGAGGGAUACGGAUUCCCCACCUCUCUGCCAGGAGGCUGAGCCGCAUCUCCCAGCUCAGGAUCAAAGGACUGUGGGGGUAUAAGGAGGAAGUUAAGUGUUGGCGGUGGGAAGCAGUCCUGGCACAACUGAACUGGGACAAAGAGAGGUCACAGGGACAGGGCUUUGGGCUCAGUGCUGACCAGGAUGGACUGUGCUGUAACUUUCUUGCUUGCAGGGACAUUCACUUGUGUUUUUUUUAAUUAAUUAGUUUCAGCUGUUCACAUGCUCCAUGUUCACGUCCCAUGAAUGUCCCAGCAAGCGAGUUUCAAAAGCAAAUUUUAAACAAAUUGAGCAAAAUUUGUCAUUUCAAGCAUUUGCGCCCCAGCAGAGUUACACUCAUGCAGUCAAGCGACAGAAACAUACCAUGUAACUUAUGUGUCCAAUCAAAAUAGCUCCGAUUUCGAAUGUCUAACAUUUCCAGUGGGUUGUCACAAAUGCCCUGCAGGCCAAUAGUUAUUCCCAAGAAGCUAUUUGGAGUAAAAAUAAAUUCAAGAAAAUUUUUAUCUCUCUGUGGACAGGAAAAGGUGACACUUGUUGAAUAAAUUAUUAUUUAUGAAUUCCUUGCUCAGCUCUAAUUAUGGCAAGUAAAUCAGAGUAAGCAUACAUGAGCUAAAACAAUUCAUACAAGAUUCUACAUGUAUCUAUGUUUAUAAUA